rnacentral:ncRNA from 1 species
ACCAUCCUUUUCUUGGGGCUAGGUUACUGCCCAGUGAGCACAUGGUGAGGGCAGAGCUGCUGACACCGACACAAAAUUCCUGCAUCAGCUACAGUUUUGCUUUACCUUGGCACAGUUUCUGGAAAA